rnacentral:tRNA from 1 species
UGUUGCAAACGUUUAGUGCAUUUGGCUGCUAACCAAAAGGUUGGUGGUUCAAGUUCACCCA